rnacentral:rRNA from 1 species
AUACAUAGGGGGCAAGCGUUAUCCGGAAUUAUUGGGCGUAAAGGGUGCGUAGGCGGUCUAUUAAGUCUGAGGUGUAAGUGCAGGGCUCAACCCUGUGAUGCUUUAGAAACUGGUAGACUUGAGUGAGAUAGAGGCAAGUGGAAUUCCAUGUGUAGCGGUAAAAUGCGUAAAUAUAUGGAGGAACACCAGUGGCGAAGGCGGCUUGCUGGGUCUAUACUGACGCUGAGGCACGAAGGCGUGGGGAGCAAAAAGGAUUAGAUACCCUGGUAGUCCACGCCGUAAACGAUGAGUACUAAGUGUUGCGAGAACGCAGUGCUGAAGUUAACAUAUUAAGUACUCCGCCUGAGUAGUACGUACGCAAGUAUGAAACUCAAAUGAAUUGACGGGG